UAGGGAAUAUUACACAAUGGGCGCAAGCCUGAUGCAGCGACGCCGCGUGAGUGAAGAAGGCCUUCGGGUCGUAAAGCUCUUUUAUCUGGGAAGUAGGGCUACUUUGUAAACAACAAAGUGGUUUGACUGUACCAGAGGAAUAAGCACCGGCUAACUCCGUGCCAGCAGCCGCGGUAAUACGGAGGGUGCAAGCGUUGUUCGGAAUUACUGGGCGUAAAGCGCACGUAGGCGGAUCCGUAAGUCGAUUGUGAAAGCCCCGGGCUUACCCUGGGAUGUGCAGUCGAAACUACGGACCUUGAAUACCGGAGAGGGUGGGGGAAUUCCUGGUGUAGAAGUGAAAUUCGUAGAUAUCAGGAGGAACAUCGGAGGCGAAGGCGCCUACCUGGUCGUGUAUUGACGCUGAGGUGCGAAAGCGUGGGGAGCAAACAGG
rnacentral:rRNA from 1 species